rnacentral:rRNA from 1 species
CCUACGGGGGGCAGCAGUGAGGAAUAUUGGUCAAUGGCCGAGAGUCUGAACCAGCCAAGUCGCGUGAAGGAUGACUGCCCUAUGGGUUGUAAACUUCUUUUAUAAAGGAAUAAAACGAGGCACGUGUGCCUUUUUGCGUGUACUUUAUGAAUAAGGAUCGGCUAACUCCGUGCCAGCAGCCGCGGUAAUACGGAGGAUCCGAGCGUUAUCCGGAUUUAUUGGGUUUAAAGGGAGCGUAGGUGGGUUGUUAAGUCAGGUGUGAAAGUUUGCGGCUCAAACGUAAAAUUGCAAUUGAUACUGGGAGUCUUGAGUACAGUUGAGGUAGGCGGAAUUCGUGGGGUAGCGGUGAAAUGCUUAGAUAUCACGCAGAACCCCGAUUGCGAAGGCAGCCUACUAAACUGUGACUGACAUUGAUGCACGAAAGUGUGGGUAUCAAACAGGAUUAGAUACCCGGGUAGUC